rnacentral:rRNA from 1 species
GACGAACGCUGGCGGCGUGCCUAAUACAUGCAAGUAGAACGCUGAAGGAGGAGCUUGCUUCUCUGGAUGAGUUGCGAACGGGUGAGUAACGCGUAGGUAACCUGCCUGGUAGCGGGGGAUAACUAUUGGAAACGAUAGCUAAUACCGCAUAAUAGCAGUUGUUGCAUGACAACUGUUUGAAAGGUGCAAUUGCACCACUACCAGAUGGACCUGCGUUGUAUUAGCUAGUUGGUGGGGUAACGGCUCACCAAGGCGACGAUACAUAGCCGACCUGAGAGGGUGAUCGGCCACACUGGGACUGAGACACGGCCCAGGCUCCUACGGGAGGCAGCAGUAGGGAAUCUUCGGCAAUGGACGGAAGUCUGACCGAGCAACGCCGCGUGAGUGAAGAAGGUUGUCGGAUCGUAAAGCUCUGUUGUAAGAGAAGAACGAGUGUGAGAGUGGAAAGUUCACACUGUGACGGUAUCUUACCAGAAAGGGACGGCUAUCUACGUG